rnacentral:tRNA from 1 species
UAAUAAGAAGUGAAACAUUGCAGUCAGUUUCGACCUGGAAGAUGGAAUUAAAUUCCCUUGUUUU